CGGGGCGUAGCGCAGCCUGGCUUGCGCGCCUGCUUUGGGAGCAGGAGGUCCCCAGUUCGAAUCUGGGCGCCCCGA
rnacentral:tRNA from 1 species